rnacentral:rRNA from 1 species
GUCAAUCUACCGCAGAGAGGGGAAUAACCUUGGGAAACUGAGGCUAAUACCACAUAGUAGGGCUGGAAAGGCCUAUAAAAAUGCACUGCUCUGCGAUGAGACUGCGUCGGAUCAGGCAGAUGCGGGGUAACGGCCCACAUACCUUUGACCCGUAUGGGAUAUGAGAGUAAGAGCCCAGAGAAGGGACUGAGACAUGGCCCUAGCGCUACGGCGUGCAGCAGGCGCGCAAACUCCACAAUGCAAUACUGUGAUGGGGGGAAUCUGAGUGGUUACUUGGUGAACCUUUUGCAGUUUAGCAAGCUGGAGAAUAAGUGCUGGGUAAGACCGGUGGCAGCCGCCACGGUAAUACCGGCGGCACAAGUGGUAUUCACAAUUAUUGGGCUUAAAGCGUUAGUAGCCGGCUGAACAGUCUUGGUGAAAUGUGGUGCAUGACUCACACGUCUAAGAUACCUUCGGCUAGGGAGUGGGAGAGGUUGGAGUAUUCAGGGGUAAGGGUAAAAUCUCGUAAUCCUUGAAGACUACCGGUGGCGAAGGCGCCAACCAGAACACUCCGACGGUGAGUGACGAAGGCCAGGAGAACGAAUCGGAUUAGAUACCCGAGUAGCCCUGGCAGUAAAUGAUGCAACUUGGUGUUCGUAUCCGAAUAAUGAGUACCGAGGACAACUGUUAAGUUGCCGCCUGGGGAGUACGGCCGCAAG